CUGAAAUGCGCCCAAGCUGUAGAAAGUUGACAGCAGAGACGUCCAGGAAACAAGCAAGGUUCAAAGCGUGGAUGCUGCAGGGCGCCUUUGAGAAAAAGAAAUUUCAGAGAGCAACAGAUUCAGUCUUACCUGCUGAGGUCAAGAGCUGGAGGAUCCUGCUUGAGAAGGAAGACGAGUCUGUUUGGAGUACUGACGAGGAUAUCUGCACAGAGAAAAGGAGGUUGUGCAUCUCUGAGGACCUUUUCCUGAUGAAGAUGCUUCAGCCUCUUCAGUGUGGAUUUCUCCUUCCCAUCACUCGGCAGGUUUUGGAUCUUUCUGUCCAAUGAGGAGGUCCAGGUGAUGCCGUUUCCCUCUACGUCUUUCAGAGGUAUGCCACCAGCUUCAGUCAGACAGAAGACAGCGAACAGCAGUCCCGGAUAUCCAAAUAGCGGGAAACUUCAAAACAUCUGGAAAUAACCUCAGUCAGCUGCCAAUCAGUUGGAUAUGCCUUACAGGGCCGUGGCCAGGGAACGCCACACGCAGCUGAAGCGCUUCGUGUCCCCGUAGCAGCCGCGGUGGGCGGGGACUGCCAGGGCAGCGGCAGACUUGAUCCGCACCUUGAAGUUCUUACAGGAAGUGACGACAUGGCAGAGAGAGGAGAACGCAUCGCUAGACCACGGGGCCGAGUCUGAUGGGAAAUUAAAAAAAAAAAAAAAAAAGGAGAAAUGAAUGGUCAAGUUUGAAGAGAGAGCAACAUUAAAAUAAAAUUCAGAUCAAUCACUGAUGGGUACACUUAACAAACCCCGUAUGUGAUGUAAAACUGAGGGGGAGUGCAUUUAAAAAAAAAAAAAAAAAAAAAAAACUUUAAACCAUUGUUUCAGCAAUUCAAUAGCAGCAAUUAGGUCCAUUUCCCAAAAUAUCAAACUAUUCCUUUAAAUUCUGAUUGGAAGCAAGAUCACAGAGCCAGACUGAUAACCCAUUCUGACCCAAACCUGGGAAAAUGCCCUGGCAAUAAAUACUUACUGAGCGGCAGGGCAGGGUUUCUGAAAGCAUUUCCCAAUGCAUAGCAAGCAUUCCAUCGGACCUUCAUAGUGGCUUCUGAUUGGACAGUUUUAACCAGAGCACGGACUGCGUCUUCCAGCGGGCGCUGGAACGCAGACCGGGUCAGCUGACUGUGACGCAGGAAAUGAAGCAGAUUCCCGAGUGCACGCACUGCGUUAGACUUCACCUGGGGUGGGGGGGAACAAGUUUAGAGAGGUUAGAGUCAAUCAAAGACUAUAAAAUUAUGUGGCAGAACAAAAUGUGGCAAGACAGAUCUGAAUGUUUGUGUUUCGCUAUGCUCUCACUCUGUCUUUGUCGGCCGAUGCUCGGGUGGCUGCCUGCAACAUCUUGAGCAGCAGCAUGUCUGAUAACUCUUCUUGGAAGUCCACACCUACACUCUCCCUGAUAAGGGGAAUGGAGAUAAACAGAUUAAAAAAACCAAUAUAUUAUAUACCUUGAAAACUAUACUGGUUUUAUCCAAAACAGUUAAAAACAUAUUAGUAAACAUAAGUGGAUCCAUGCUUUAAUGGUUUUAAGAUCAGAUUUCUUUACUGUACCAUUAUAAAUAGCAAGCAUUCACUCAGCACAUUGUAUCCAUGUUUUCUUACAUGUUAACUAUAAGAGUGUCUGUGAGGUUGCCUAGGGACCAGGCAGCCUUGGCACGGACAUUUGGAGAGCGAUCAUCUAGGGCAGCAAGGAUAGUGUUUGCUGUGUCUGCCACGAACAUCACAUCCUGAAAAGGGAGGGAGAGACAGAAAUAAACACAAUCUGUUAGGGUGAGAAACGUGCUGCACGGUGCUCAGUAUGCUCACAGGUGCUGGUUCUACCUCUCUCAGACAGGGGAACAGUAUGUAGACUCCCAACGCCCUGACAGCUGCAGUCUUCACCAGAUAGUUUUCACUGUAGGUAAGCCCCAGCAGCAUGGUGAUGCACAUCAGCUGGGUCUUGUCCUUUAAAGCAAAAUUAAACAUCACACAAAUAAGACCAAUGAAGCUCAGUCUCAGCUAUGAAGAAAGUGUUCAAUCGUAGGGGAACUCACGGGCAGCUGUGCGAAGGCCUGUGGCAGGAUGGUGGAGAGCGUGUCGCAGGCGCUCGUCUGCAGCGUGGGAUGCUGUUCGUUCUGCAGUGCUCCGUUCAGCGGACCACUCAAGACUUCUGACCAAAACAGCACCACCUAUAUCAUGCCCACAUAAUGCAUGUAUGAAAUGAAAACACAGUUGUCUAUAGUAGUGUUACUUUCGUCAGACGAAAGUAAACAAAUAUAUUAGUCAGUUCCCACCCCCCCCCAGUGUGUUCAUUCUGCUGUAGUUUUUUUUCUUGAUGGUUAAUGACUAAAACACUUUUGAUUUCCUUUUGAC